rnacentral:rRNA from 1 species
GACCCCGGGAGGGGAGUGAAAAAGAACCUGAAACCGUAAGUUUACAAGCAGACGGAGAGCGUUAAGUGCUCGACGUCGUACUUUUUGUAGAACGGGCCGGCGAGUUACGAUGUGAUGCGAGGUUAAGCGAUGAAGUCGCGGAGCCGAAGCGAAAGCGAAUCUGAAAAGGGUGGUAAGUAUCAUGUCGUAGACCCGAAACCGAAUGACCUAACCAUGAGCAGGUUGAAGCAAUGGUAAAACGUUGUGGAGGACCGAACACACGCCUGUUGAAAUAGUCGGUGAUGACUUGUGGUUAGCGGAGAAAUUCCAAACGAAUUCGGAUAUAGCUGGUUCUCCUCGAAAUAGCUUUAGGGCUAGCCUCGCGAGACAGACUAUGAAGGUAAAGCACUGAAUGACCUAGGGGGCUUCACAGCCUACCGAAGUUUAUCAAACUAAGAAUGUUAUAGUUAAAGGCGCGGGAGUCAGACAGCGACAGCUAAGUGCCGUUGUCAAAAGGGAAACAGCCCAGAUCUACAGCUAAGGUCCCGAAGUACAGGUUAAGUGGAAAAGGAUGUGACGAUGCAAAGACAACCAGGAUGUUGGCUCAGAAGCAGCCACGCAUUAAAAGAGUGCGUAAUAGCUCACUGGUCGAGUGACGUUGCGCCGAAAAUUAACGGGGCUCAAACCUGACACCGAAGCUUAGGAAUACUUUAAGGAGUAUUGGUAGAGGAGCAAUGUAUACGAGAAGAAGGCGUACCGGAAGGAGCGCUGGAUUGUAUAGAAGAGAGAAUGCCGGCAUAAGUAGCGAGAGCGGAGCGAGAAACUCCGCCGUCGAAAGUCUGAGGUUUUCCGGGGAAGGUUCGUCCGCCCGGAGAAAGUCGGGACCUAAGCGGAGGCCGAAAGGCGUACGUGAUGGACAGCAGGUUGAUAUUCCUGCACUACCGAGAGAGACAAUGAAGCAAUGACACGGAAAGAUAGAAGAAGCGCGCGGAUGGAAAAGCGCGUCCAAGCAAAGAGGGUGGCUGGUAGUAAAGAACGCCAGUCGGAAGCCUGAUUUGUGACGGGGAGUGGACCAAGGAAACGAAGUCUUUGAAUCUACGCCGGCGAGAAAAGUUGCUAAAUAUUUCGAGGUACCCGUACCGCAAACCGACACAGGUAGACGAGAAGAAAAUUCUAAGACGAACGGGAGAACCCUUGUUAAGGAACUCGGCAAAACGACCCCGUAACUUCGGGAGAAGGGGAGCCAUCGAGAGAUGGCCGCAGUGAAGAGGCCCAAGCGACUGUUUAUCAAAAACACAGGUUUCUGCUAAGGCGAAAGCCAAGGUAUAGGAGCUGACUCCUGCCCAGUGCCGGAAGGUCAAGGGGACUUGUUAGUCGAAAGGCGAAGCAACGAACUUAAGCCCCGGUGAACGGCGGCCGUAACUAUAACGGUCCUAAGGUAGCGAAAUUCCUUGUCGGGUAAGUUCCGACCCGCACGAAUGGAGUAACGAUUUGGGCGCUGUCUCAACAGGGGGCCCGGCGAAAUUGUAGUAUACGUGAAGAUGCGUAUUAACCCGCGACUGGACGGAAAGACCCCGUAGAGCUUUACUGUAGCUUGAUAUUGAAUCUCGGCAACUGAUGCACAGAAUAGGUGGGAGACAAAGAAGCAGCGUUUUCGGGCGCUGCGGAGUCAACUUUGGGAUACCACUCUUCGGUUGCUGCGAUUCUAACCGAAAACCGUGAAACCGGGUUC